rnacentral:lncRNA from 1 species
CUACUCAUACACCAGUUGUUCGAAAGGUAGCCCGGAAACGGAGUGGGAGUGCAAUUCUGAGAGAACCCGCAGCUCUGUCUCAUAAGAAGCAAAGGGUGGCAGAACCGGAGACAACUGCAGCCGCAUCCAUUUCCUCCCAAAAGGAUUUGGACACUGACAUGGUAAAUAUACAGUCUCUAGAUUCAUUCUCUCCACAGAAUGCAUUUAUUGAAAUUGGCCGUCCGACCGCGGUAUCCUGUAAAGAGUCAAGCACACAACUAGCACUCACGCUAGCAGAACCUUUGUCUUUUAAUUCUUCACUUAGAGAGAGCACAGAUAUUCAAAAAUUGUCAUAUGAAAAACUUUCUGAUCACUCUUUCUUUUUGGAUCAGGCUAUACUUGGCAACCUGCAAGUACAUCAGCCUUCACAGGCAUCUGAAGGACAAUUUGUUCCUUCACAACCUACAGUUCCAUCUCAGGGAACUAUGGUUGUAUAUACAGGUACUGGUGACGGUGUGACAAACACGAGUGAAAUCAGGCAAACACCGAGCGAAACACAUGCACGAGAGGAUAGUGAUAAAUCUUUGAGUGUUCGUGAGGUGAGUGCACACACCAACACUGAUCUGUUACAGGAACAAUUGGCUGCUCUGAAAGCUGAGAUUUCAAGGUUGAAUGCUGAGAAUGCCAG